rnacentral:rRNA from 1 species
UACGGGGGGGGCAAGCGUUGUUCGGAAUUACUGGGCGUAAAGGGCUCGUAGGCGGCCAACUAAGUCAUACGUGAAAUCCCUCGGCUUAACCGGGGAACUGCGUCUGAUACUGGAUGGCUUGAGAUUGGGAGAGGGGUGUGGAAUUCCCGGUGUAGUGGUGGAAUGCGUAGAUAUCGGGAGGAACACCAGAGGCGAAAGCGACACCCUGGCAUUUGCCUGACGCUGAGAUGCGAAAGCGUGGGGAGCAAACGGG